UGCGAGUCACGUAGCAAUACGUGGCAUACGGCUCAGUAACACGUAGUCAACAUGCCCAGGGGACGUGGAUAACCUCGGGAAACUGAGGAUAAACCACGAUAGGUCAUAAUAUCUGGAAUGAUUUAUGGCUAAAACCUACAUGGCCCCUGGAUUGGACUGCGGCCGAUCAGGCUGUUGGUGAGGUAAUGGCCCACCAAACCUAAAACCGGUACGGGCUCUGAGAGGAGAAGCCCGGAGAUGGGCACUGAGACAAGGGCCCAGGCCCUAUGGGGCGCAGCAGGCGCGAAAACUCUGCAAUAAGCGAAAGCUUGACAGGGUUAUUCUGAGUGAUUUCCGCUAAGGAAAUCUUUUGGCACCUCUAAAAAUGGUGCAGAAUAAGGGGUGGGCAAGCCUGGUGUCAGCCGCCGCGGUAAUACCAGCACCCCGAGUGGUCGGGACGAUUAUUGGGCCUAAAGCAUCCGUAGCCGGUUCUACAAGUCUUCCGUUAAAUCCAUCUGCUUAACAGAUGGGCUGCGGAGGAUACUAUGGAGCUAGGAGGCGGGAGAGGCAAGCGGUACUUAGUGGGUAGGGGUAAAAUCCGUUGAUCCACUGAAGACCACCAGUGGCGAAGGCGGCUUGCCAGAACGCGCUCGACGGUGAGGGAUGAAAGCUGGGGGAGCAAACCGGAUUAGAUACCCGGGUAGUCCCAGCUGUAAACGAUGCAGACUCGGUGAUGAAUAGGCUUCGUGCCUUUUCAGUGCCGCAGGGAAGCCGUUAAGUCUGCCGCCUGGGGAGUACGGUCGCAAGACUGAAACUUAA
rnacentral:rRNA from 1 species